rnacentral:rRNA from 2 species
GACACGACUCUCGGCAAUGGAUAUCUCGGCUCUCGCAUCGAUGAAGAGCGCAGCGAAAUGCGAUAUGUGGUGCGAAUUGCAGAAUCCCGUGAAC